AUAUCACGUUGAAACACCGAGUCUCGUCCGAUCACCGAAGUUAAGUAACGUCGAGUCUGGUGAGUACGUGAAUGGGUGACCACCUGCGUAUGCCACAUGCUGUAAG